rnacentral:rRNA from 1 species
UUAAGUUAUUAAGGGCGCACGGUGGAUGCCUUGGCACUAGAAGCCGAUGAAGGACGUUACUAACGACGAUAUGCUUUGGGGAGCUGUAAGUAAGCUUUGAUCCAGAGAUUUCCGAAUGGGGAAACCCAGCAUGAGUUAUGUCAUGUUAUCGAUAUGUGAAUACAUAGCAUAUCAGAAGGCACACCCGGAGAACUGAAACAUCUUAGUACCCGGAGGAAGAGAAAGAAAAUUCGAUUCCCUUAGUAGCGGCGAGCGAAACGGGAAGAGCCCAAACCAACAAGCUUGCUUGUUGGGGUUGUAGGACACUCUAUACGGAGUUACAAAGGACGACAUUAGACGAAUCAUCUGGAAAGAUGAAUCAAAGAAGGUAAUAAUCCUGUAGUCGAAAAUGUUGUCUCUCUUGAGUGGAUCCUGAGUACGACGGAGCACGUGAAAUUCCGUCGGAAUCUGGGAGGACCAUCUCCUAAGGCUAAAUACUCUCUAGUGACCGAUAGUGAACCAGUACCGUGAGGGAAAGGUGAAAAGCACCCCGGAAGGGGAGUGAAAUAGAACCUGAAACCGUGUGCUUACAAGUAGUCAGAGCCCGUUAAUGGGUGAUGGCGUGCCUUUUGUAGAAUGAACCGGCGAGUUACGAUUUGAUGCAAGGUUAAGCAGUAAAUGUGGAGCCGUAGCGAAAGCGAGUCUGAAUAGGGCGUUUAGUAUUUGGUCGUAGACCCGAAACCAGGUGAUCUACCCUUGGUCAGGUUGAAGUUCAGGUAACACUGAAUGGAGGACCGAACCGACUUACGUUGAAAAGUGAGCGGAUGAACUGAGGGUAGCGGAGAAAUUCCAAUCGAACCUGGAGAUAGCUGGUUCUCUCCGAAAUAGCUUUAGGGCUAGCCUCAAGUGAUGAUUAUUGGAGGUAGAGCACUGUUUGGACGAGGGGCCCCUCUCGGGUUACCGAAUUCAGACAAACUCCGAAUGCCAAUUAAUUUAACUUGGGAGUCAGAACAUGGGUGAUAAGGUCCGUGUUCGAAAGGGAAACAGCCCAGACCACCAGCUAAGGUCCCAAAAUAUAUGUUAAGUGGAAAAGGAUGUGGCGUUGCCCAGACAACUAGGAUGUUGGCUUAGAAGCAGCCAUCAUUUAAAGAGUGCGUAAUAGCUCACUAGUCGAGUGACACUGCGCCGAAAAUGUACCGGGGCUAAACAUAUUACCGAAGCUGUGGAUUGUCCUUUGGACAAUGGUAGGGAGAGCGUUCUAAGGGCGUUGAAGCAUGAUCGUAAGGACAUGUGGAGCGCUUAGAAGUGAGAAUGCCGGUGUGAGUAGCGAAAGACGGGUGAGAAUCCCGUCCACCGAUUGACUAAGGUUUCCAGAGGAAGGCUCGUCCGCUCUGGGUUAGUCGGGUCCUAAGCUGAGGCCGACAGGCGUAGGCGAUGGAUAACAGGUUGAUAUUCCUGUACCACCUAUAAUCGUUUUAAUCGAUGGGGGGACGCAGUAGGAUAGGCGAAGCGUGCGAUUGGAUUGCACGUCUAAGCAGUAAGGCUGAGUAUUAGGCAAAUCCGGUACUCGUUAAGGCUGAGCUGUGAUGGGGAGAAGACAUUGUGUCUUCGAGUCGUUGAUUUCACACUGCCGAGAAAAGCCUCUAGAUAGAAAAUAGGUGCCCGUACCGCAAACCGACACAGGUAGUCAAGAUGAGAAUUCUAAGGUGAGCGAGCGAACUCUCGUUAAGGAACUCGGCAAAAUGACCCCGUAACUUCGGGAGAAGGGGUGCUCUUUAGGGUUAACGCCCAGAAGAGCCGCAGUGAAUAGGCCCAAGCGACUGUUUAUCAAAAACACAGGUCUCUGCUAAACCGUAAGGUGAUGUAUAGGGGCUGACGCCUGCCCGGUGCUGGAAGGUUAAGAGGAGUGGUUAGCUUCUGCGAAGCUACGAAUCGAAGCCCCAGUAAACGGCGGCCGUAACUAUAACGGUCCUAAGGUAGCGAAAUUCCUUGUCGGGUAAGUUCCGACCCGCACGAAAGGCGUAACGAUUUGGGCACUGUCUCAACGAGAGACUCGGUGAAAUCAUAGUACCUGUGAAGAUGCAGGUUACCCGCGACAGGACGGAAAGACCCCGUGGAGCUUUACUGUAGCCUGAUAUUGAAAUUCGGCACAGCUUGUACAGGAUAGGUAGGAGCCUUUGAAACGUGAGCGCUAGCUUACGUGGAGGCGCUGGUGGGAUACUACCCUAGCUGUGUUGGCUUUCUAACCCGCACCACUUAUCGUGGUGGGAGACAGUGUCAGGCGGGCAGUUUGACUGGGGCGGUCGCCUCCUAAAAGGUAACGGAGGCGCUCAAAGGUUCCCUCAGAAUGGUUGGAAAUCAUUCAUAGAGUGUAAAGGCAUAAGGGAGCUUGACUGCGAGACCUACAAGUCGAGCAGGGUCGAAAGACGGACUUAGUGAUCCGGUGGUUCCGCAUGGAAGGGCCAUCGCUCAACGGAUAAAAGCUACCCCGGGGAUAACAGGCUUAUCUCCCCCAAGAGUUCACAUCGACGGGGAGGUUUGGCACCUCGAUGUCGGCUCAUCGCAUCCUGGGGCUGUAGUCGGUCCCAAGGGUUGGGCUGUUCGCCCAUUAAAGCGGUACGCGAGCUGGGUUCAGAACGUCGUGAGACAGUUCGGUCCCUAUCCGUCGUGGGCGUAGGAAAUUUGAGAGGAGCUGUCCUUAGUACGAGAGGACCGGGAUGGACAUACCUCUGGUGUACCAGUUGUCGUGCCAACGGCAUAGCUGGGUAGCUAUGUGUGGACGGGAUAAGUGCUGAAAGCAUCUAAGCAUGAAGCCCCCCUCAAGAUGAGAUUUCCCAACUUCGGUUAUAAGAUCCCUCAAAGAUGAUGAGGUUAAUAGGUUCGAGGUGGAAGCAUGGUGACAUGUGGAGCUGACGAAUACUAAUCGAUCGAAGACUUAAUCAA